rnacentral:rRNA from 1 species
UACCUGGUUGAUCCUGCCAGUAGUCAUAUGCUUGUCUCAAAGAUUAAGCCAUGCAUGUCUAAGUAUAAGCGACUUUACUGCGAAACUGCGAAUGGCUCAUUAAAUCAGUUUUAAUCUACACGGUAGAUGGAUACACGGAUAGCCGUGGUAAUUCUAGAGCUAAUACGUGCGCGAGGGCCGACUUUUUGGAGGCCUGUAUUUAUUAGGUACAGAACCAACGCUUUUGGUGAUUCAGGAUAACUUUUCGGACGCGUCUUUUAUUGGGCGUGCGCGGCGUGUCCUUGAUUGGGCGCGGCGUGGCGUGCCCGGGAUUACUUUGAAAAGAUUAGAGUGUUCAAAGCAAGCGUUGCUUGAAUAGCCCAGCAUGGAAUAAUGGAACAAGACUUUGGGCCUGUUUUGUUGGUUUCCGGGGCCGAGGUAAUGAGCAAGAGGGGCGGUUGGGGGCAUUCGUAUUUAGUUGUCAGAGGUGAAAUUCUUGGAUUUACUACAGACGAACAUCUGCGAAAGCAUCUGCCAAGGACGCUUUCAUUGAUCAAGAACGAAAGUCGGGGGAUCGAAGGUGAUUAGAGACCAUCUUAGUCUCGACCAUAAACUCUGCCGGCUGGGGAUGGGGAGGUGAUUUGUGUCGCUCUCUGCACCCUGUGGGAAACCAAAGCGUUUGGGUUCCGGGGGGAGUAUGGUCGCAAGGCUGAAACUUAAAGGAAUUGACGGAAGGGCACCACCAGGUGUGGAGCCUGCGGUUUAAUUUGACCCAACACGGGGAAACUCACCAGGUCCAGAUUUGAGGAGGAUUGACAGAUUGAGAGCUCUUUCUUGAUUUCAAAGGUGGUGGUGCAUGGCCGUUCUUAGUUGGUGGAGCGAUUUGUCUGGUUAAUUCCGUUAACGAACGAGACCUUGGGGGGGUUUGUGGGGGCCUGUGCUUCGGUAGAGGGUCCCUCAUACCACGACGACCGGUGCGAGCCGGAGGAAGUUUGAGGCGAUAACAGGUCUGUGAUGCCCUUUGAUGUCCUGGGCCACACGCGCGCUACACUGGCGGGGGGAGCGCGUUGGGGGGGCGGGAGCCCUGCCGAAUCGUUGGAAGCCCUGCCGUGCUGGGGAUUGCAGUUUGGAACUAGCCUGCAUGAACGAGGAAUACCUAGUAGGCGCGCGUCACCAGCGCGCGCCGAUUACGUCCCUGCCCUUUGUACACACCGCCCGUCGCUGUUACCGAUGGGUCUUGCUGUGAGGUUGUGGGAGCGGAACAUCCUGGCGCGCAAGCGCCAGGAUUUUCCGCGAACACAAACGAAUUGUGGGAUCUAGAGGAAGCAAAAGUCGUAACAAGGUUUCCGUAGGUGAACCUGCGGAAG